CUGCAACUCGACUGCACGAAGCUGGAAUCGCAGUAAUCGCAGAUCAGAAUGCUGCGGUGAAUACGUUCCCGGGUCUUGUACACACCGCCCGUCACACCAUGGGAGUCAGUAACGCCCGAAGUCAGUGACCUAACCGCAAGGGAGGAGCUGCCGAAGGCGGGACCGAUAACUGGGGUGAAGUCGUAACAAGGUAAC
rnacentral:rRNA from 1 species